UGACACAGAUUAAGGAUGGAGUAGUAGUAGAUCCCAAUCGUAUACAGGUAUUCAUUAAGACUCAUACGAAGAAAGAUGGACAACCAGUUGAUGAAGCAUCAGCUUUGGCCAUUCGUCGUCUUAAUGAGGGAGCCUCUCAGAUUCUUGAGUCUUCAGAGUCGCCUGCUUUACGGGAGGAGUUAUUCACUAACGUACUAAAACCAGAUAGGAAUGGACGUGUGCGAACCUAUGGCCUGGGUCCUUGUCCGAGUCAAGUGUUUGGGACCAGAUAUACCCGAUCUCAGGAGCAGCGUGUUAAGGAUCAGUUGUGUGCGGAGUUGGGUGCAGAGUUGCGACAAGAGGUGCUAAGAGACGUAAAUGAUGAAAUCACUCAAUUGAAGAACCAAUAUGCAACCGUGGCAGCUUAUAUGAAAAGUGCAGGACAUCCUUUGCCUCCAUCACCAAAUGGAGCUGGAAAUGGAGAUAAAGAUCACACAUCGUCACUAAUGGAGCACAAUGGAUAGGUAAAUUAUCGACGGACAUGGAAGACAUGCAAUAGGAAUGACGGGAAGACAUGUUUCUAGUAUUUGCAGGUUGUAAUUGUUUCUUGAAAACUGUUUUUGUUUUGGAGUUGGAACUGACCAAAAGCAUAUUUUGGGUCAUUGUGUUGUUUUGGUUAGUAUGAUCUUUUGUUUUUGGAGAUACACAUGCAAUUGAAACUUAUAUUUUGACGCU